CCUACGGGUGGCAGCAGUGGGGAAUAUUGGGCAAUGGGCGCAAGCCUGACCCAGCAACGCCGCGUGAAGGAAGAAGGCUUUCGGGUUGUAAACUUCUUUUCUGGGGGACGAACAAGUGACGUUACCUGACUAAGAAGCCCCGGCUAAAUAAGUGCCAGCAGCCGCGGUAAUACGGAGGGGGCAAGCGUUGUCCGGAUUUACUGGGUGGAAAGGGAGGGGAGGCGGCCUGCCAAGUCUGGUGUGAAAACCCGGGGCCCAACACCGGGCCUGCCUUGGAAACUGGAGGGCUGGAGUGUCGGAGGGGCAGGCGGAAUUCCUAGGGUAGCGGUGAAAUGCGUAGAUAUUAGGAGGAACACCGGUGGCGAAGGCGGCCUGCUGGACGAUGACUGACGCUGAGGCUCGAAAGCGUGGGGAGCAAACAGGAUUAGAUACCCCUGUAGUC
rnacentral:rRNA from 1 species